rnacentral:tRNA from 1 species
GUUAGCUCAGUUGGUAGAGCAUCUGGCUUUUAACCAGAGGGUCACAGGUUCGAAUCCUGUA